GGUAGUAAUUCUAAGGACUUCAUCAUAACAUAUGAGUUCUAUUUUGGAAGAUAUAUUCCUUAUGAUGAAUCUAUUAGAUAACAUUUAUCAUUUUAUAAUUUAUAUACUUAUUUGAAGCACAAUCAUCUACAACCUAAAUGAUUGGUUUUAGGACAUAUUUUUCAACAACUCCCACUUAGACUAAAUCCAAUCAGAUCAAUAUCCAAUAUUCAUCUUCCAUUUUAGAUCAUUGAACUCAU
rnacentral:lncRNA from 1 species